GACGAACGCUGGCGGCGUGCUUAACACAUGCAAGUCGAACGGAAAGGCCUCUUUCGGGGGGUACUCGAGUGGCUAACGGGUGAGUAACACGUGAGUAACCUGCCCUUGACUUUGGGAUAACUUCAGGAAACUGGGGCUAAUACCGGAUAGGAGCUCCUGCUGCAUGGUGGGGGUUGGAAAGUUUCGGCGGUUGGGGAUGGACUCGCGGCUUAUCAGCUUGUUGGUGGGGUAGUGGCUUACCAAGGCGUUGACGGGUAGCCGGCCUGAGAGGGUGACCGGCCACAUUGGGAAUGAGAUACGGCCCAGACUCCUGCGGGAGGAAGAAGUGGGGAAGAGUGCACAAUGGGUGGAAGACUGAUGCAGCAACGCCGUGGGCGGGAUGACGGCCUUCGGGUUGUAAACCGCUUUCGCUCAUGACGAAGCUUUGUGUGACGGUAGUGGGUAAAGAAGCACCGGCUAACUACGUG
rnacentral:rRNA from 1 species